UACAGAGGGGGCAAGCGUUGUUCGGAAUUACUGGGCGUAAAGGGCGCGUAGGCGGCCUGCUAAGUCGAACGUGAAAUCCCUGGGCUUAACCCAGGAACUGCGUCCGAUACUGGUUGGCUUGAAUCCGGGAGAGGGAUGUGGAAUUCCGGGUGUAGCGGUGAAAUGCGUAGAUAUCUGGAGGAACACCGGUGGCGAAGGCGGCAUCCUGGACCAACACUGACGCUGAGGAGCGAAAGCCAGGGGAGCAAACGGG
rnacentral:rRNA from 1 species